GGGUUGUGAGGUUAAGCGACUAAGCGUACACGGUGGAUGCCCUGGCAGUCAGAGGCGAUGAAGGGCGUGCUAAUCUGCGAUAAGCGCCGGUAAGGUGAUAUGAACCGUUAUAACCGGCGAUACCCGAAUGGGGAAACCCAGUGUGACUCGUCACACUAUCAUUAACUGAAUCCAUAGGUUAAUGAGGCGAACCGGGGGAACUGAAACAUCUAAGUACCCCGAGGAAAAGAAAUCAACCGAGAUUCCCCCAGUAGCGGCGAGCGAACGGGGAGGAGCCCAGAGCCUGAAUCAGCAUGUGUGUUAGUGGAAGCGUCUGGAAAGGCGCGCGAUACAGGGUGACAGCCCCGUACACAAAAGCGCAUGUGCUGUGAGCUCGAUGAGUAGGGCGGGACACGUGGUAUCCUGUCUGAAUAUGGGGGGACCAUCCUCCAAGGCUAAAUACUCCUGACUGACCGAUAGUGAACCAGUACCGUGAGGGAAAGGCGAAAAGAACCCCGGCGAGGGGAGUGAAAAAGAACCUGAAACCGUGUACGUACAAGCAGUGGGAGCACCCUUUGGGUGUGACUGCGUACCUUUUGUAUAAUGGGUCAGCGACUUAUAUUCUGUAGCAAGGUUAACCGAAUAGGGGAGCCGGAGGGAAACCGAGUCUUAAUUGGGCGUUAAGUUGCAGGGUAUAGACCCGAAACCCGGUGAUCUAGCCAUGGGCAGGUUGAAGGUUGGGUAACACUAACUGGAGGACCGAACCGACUAAUGUUGAAAAAUUAGCGGAUGACCUGUGGCUGGGGGUGAAAGGCCAAUCAAACCGGGAGAUAGCUGGUUCUCCCCGAAAGCUAUUUAGGUAGCGCCUCGUGAAUUCAUCUCCGGGGGUAGAGCACUGUUUCGGCUAGGGGGCCAUCCCGGCUUACCAACCCGAUGCAAACUGCGAAUACCGGAGAAUGUUAUCACGGGAGACACACGGCGGGUGCUAACGUCCGUCGUGAAGAGGGAAACAACCCAGACCGCCAGCUAAGGUCCCAAAGUCAUGGUUAAGUGGGAAACGAUGUGGGAAGGCCCAGACAGCCAGGAUGUUGGCUUAGAAGCAGCCAUCAUUUAAAGAAAGCGUAAUAGCUCACUGGUCGAGUCGGCCUGCGCGGAAGAUGUAACGGGGCUAAACCAU
rnacentral:rRNA from 1 species